GCUGCCCAUCAAGCACGGCUUGUGUGUUGGGUCGUCGUCCCCUCUCCGGGGGGGACGGGCCCCAAAGGCAGCGGCGGCACCGCGUCCGAUCCUCGAGCGUAUGGGGCUUUGUCACCCGCUCUGUAGGCCCGGCCGGCGCUUGCCGAACGCAAAACAACCAUUUUUUCCAGG
rnacentral:misc_RNA from 2 species